rnacentral:lncRNA from 1 species
UUUUAUUCAAAAUCCACUUAGCUUUAUAUAAUUGGAUGUGUGGGCUCCAUAUAUGUGCUAUGUUAGCACAUUAACGGAAAAUUUGACGGAAAUUAACCGUAUGGACCAAUUUGAUGUAUAGAGAGUAACCUUAAAGACCAUUAAUGUCACCGACAAAAAAAGGACGAAAGGUGAUAAUUUCGCUAAACUUGGGGACCAUUUAUAAUAAAAAGCUUUUUUUUAAAGUCCCUGUCCAAAACGCAACGACCAAAAAAAAAAAAAAAAAAGAGGUGAAACCUGCCAUAUGAAGUCUUACCUCCACCGUAGAACCUGCUGUCAUUAAUAUAAAGCGGAGUCCAAAUUGUAAUAUGAAUUGAAUUAAAGAAGCCUCCUUGCGUUGAGGCUCUUACAGCAGCCAGUAGUCCCAAAUUCCAAUCACAAGGUAUUUUUGUUCUUUCUCUUUUGGUUUUAUUUAUUCUUUUAGUUUUUUAUUUUAUUUUUCUAAUUUGGCACUUUAUGUAGCAAACUCAUGGAGGAAGAGGCUACGUGGCACAUGACUCGAGGUAUGAUCAAUUAUGAUAGUUUGUUUAAUUGAUAAUUUGAUAUGCAUUUUAAUUGAAUGAAUUGAUAAUAAUUUUUGUUAAACUAAUUGAUGAUGUUAUAUGCAUUUUAUUCAUAUUAAUUGAUAUAAUAUAUAGACUAUAGUCGAUUAGUCAUAGGCAUAAGAUCCUGUUAUAAAGUAGGCAGAGUAUGAAAGUACCACUGAAUAUAGGGGCAUGAUUGUAUUUGCUAUUGUGGUAUUACACUGAUAGAAUUUUCUCUUUCGGAUAAAACUUUCUAACUCUUA